GUUUCCCGAAGCCAUGGUUCGCAAAAUCUGGAAUGAAUGCCAAUACCUAACCGCUGAAACUUGUGUGAAAGAUCCUGCCAAAGGUGAAGUGUCUCCAGGAUACCUUGCUUGGUAUAAGAGAGAAUCUGAGCAUGAAAGACCACCCAAAAGGCCUCGCCUCCGAGAAUUCGUCGGGACAUCACAAGAACAGUGGGAUUGGUUAGCCAAAGAACAUGAAU
rnacentral:lncRNA from 1 species